CUCCAGCCUACAUGCGCCGAAAUCCAUCAGCCUCGGAGAAAUGAGUGCUUAACUCCUUUUCAAUCCCCGAGAUUAAUGGUGGGCUCCGAGCGAGAUAUGUUCACCCCUCCCUGGGUAUGGACAAAGGGUACCCCGGUGCCAUGGUCGUCCCAUAGAGGACUUAAGGACACCUGCUACUUUCGGGGAUUUUUCUCUUUUGCCAGCGUGUGUUGACAAGGGCAGACAUCACUGGAGGGCACUGAGGAGGGAGAGCAGGUCAGGAGGGAUCGUUCCCGGCUGCGUACCUGGCGCCCCAAAGCUGGCACGUGCCCCCAGCGGGACACAAGGAGUAGAUGCAUCAUGGCAGGGAUGCUCAUGUCCCUCUGCGGUGGCAGACAGAUGAGCCCAACCCUGCUCCUCCAGCUCUGCUGCAUUUCAGCUCCACUUCCUUGAUGCUGGAAGCAGAAGCGAAGAUGAAUAAAUAACAAUAAAAAGAAG
ensembl:lncRNA